rnacentral:rRNA from 1 species
CCUACGGGAGGCAGCAGUAGGGAAUAUUGCUCAAUGGGGGAAACCCUGAAGCAGCAACGCCGCGUGGAGGAUGAAGGUUUUCGGAUUGUAAACUCCUUUUGUUAGAGAAGAUAAUGACGGUAUCUAACGAAUAAGCACCGGCUAACUCCGUGCCAGCAGCCGCGGUAAUACGGAGGGUGCAAGCGUUACUCGGAAUCACUGGGCGUAUAGAGCGAGUAGGCGGGAUAGAAAGUCAGAUGUGAAAUCCUAUGGCUGAACCAUAGACCUGCAUUUGAAACUGUUAUUCUAGAUGAUGGGAGAGGUAGGUGGAAUUCUUGUGGUAGGGGUAAAUACCAUA